CUACCCACGUGGAGAAAUCCAAUGUGACUCUGCUAAGAGUCACUGUUUUCUAAGUGUAGGGACAAGGUUGACUCAAUAGCAGGAUUUUCAUGGACUUCUUGUCCCAAAGCUUCCUCGUGGCAUGGAACAGUGCCAUGAAUUGAGAUCAUUUUGGAUAUUUAGUUUGGAGAAGAGAAGAGACGGCUCCGGGGAGACCUCACUGUGGCCUUCCAGUACUUGAAGGGAGCAUAUAAACAGGAAGGGGAGCAGCUGUUUACGAGGGUGGAUAGUGAUAGGACAAAUGGGAAUGGUUUUAAACUGAGAUCGUGUGGUUUAGGUUGGAUAUUAGGAAGAAGUUUUUCACUCAGAGGGUGGUAACACACUGGAACAGGUUGCCCAAGGAGGCUGUGGAUGCCCCAUCCCUGGAGGCAUUCAAGGCCAGGCAGGAUGUGGCUCUGGGCAGCCUGGUCUGCUGAUUGGUGACCCUGCACAUAGCAGUGGGUUGAAACUGGAUGGUCAUUGUGGUCCUUUUCAACCCAGGUCAUUCUGUGAUUCUAUGAUUCAUUCUAUGAUUCUCACCACAUAAAAGUUGGAUCAGGUGCUCAGAUUGGAGCUGCAACGAUUGCUAUGAGAUCAAAGUGAUUGUUAUAGAAGAAAUUCAGGGCAUCAUGUAUCUAACACACAAAAUCAAGAUGGUGGGCAGCAUGUGGGACAUAAAGUUUUGAAGCUCUCCAUUGCUCUCCAGAUACACCACCUAUGAAGAAGAUGAUGAUCACAUAGCAGAUAUCUAGGGUGGAUUUCGUAAUAAUUACCAGCUGUUGUUGUUUUGAGAUAGUGAAAGAAGUCUUCAGUUUUCCAGCAAUCUGAAUUAAUCUCAUAUUCUUAAGAAAAAUAUUCUGCAAACUUAUCUUGAAAAAGCAGCAUUAAGGGCUGGUUUCCAAGGCUGUGGUUCCUUCAUGAUCAGCUGACAUUCAUUAACUCAGCCAUCAGCUGUCUGGAGCAAGACAAGGAGAAAAGAAGUCUGCUUUGGGUUGGAAGAUGAGUCCAUCUAAUCUUGCAUCCCGUGUCUAG
rnacentral:lncRNA from 1 species